AGGCGAGGUGUUUGACUUUGUGGCUGUGGUAACUAGUGACGACCUAGAAUUAGCUUGACCCGAGUUACUGCCCUGAUGACACAGGCAACUUCAUCAACAACGGUAAUGUGUGUUUUAUAUGAAAGGUUGUAUAAAAAAUACACGGUUUGUUAAACUAUUAGGUGAAUUACCCAGUCAAGCAGAUACAAGUAGUACAGUCAUUUUGGUUGUGAAGUGCAUUAUCAAAAAGCUUUGUCAUUUCUUUAUAACAAAAUGCAAUUUACCACUUGGCUGUCUAUUGUAUAACCCUAACACCACCUCWUAAGAUGAGGAAGUCCAUUGUUUAUGAGGAUUGCUUGCAGCAGUUGUUCAAKAGAUAUCCAGUUUGCUGCCAAACAUGCAACAUAGAGAAGACCAGCAAGGGGACCCUCAGCAUCACGCAGACAUGCCCUCGAUGUGAGCAUUCCUAUAAAUUGAACAGGGAGGAUGCUUGAAUCGGGUUGGUGACAUUUGACCUGGUCAAAUGUUUACCGUUCUAUUUCAGCGAGCAGCUUGGUUCCACCAUUCGAGUCAUAACCACCAUUGAUAAUGUAAUCAGUGCUCUGUUUGUGUGUGACUGACCAAACACAAACGGGGUGCUGGCAAAGACCUUACCUCAAUUCUCACCUCUUGUCUGCUCACCAGCGGUCAUUGAUGGGGAGACCAGAAUUAGAUUAAGCUAUGGUGGCAGCACAUGGAGAGAUGUGAUGGAGUCCUGACCRACAGGCUUGAUACUGAUGUCUCUGAAUGGAGAGAGACCUGGCACUCAACACAUCCACAAUGUGGGACAGAAGGUGAUCACAAAUAAUACAGUACAGCAGAAAUGUCCAGUAUUUGCAACACCCUUUUCAUUCCAUUUGUCACGGAUAAACUCUGAUUCAACUCUGCCUAGUUCUACAGAUGGACUGUAGAUGCUUUUGCCAGACGGCAGCCAGUCGUUUGAUGGGGAGACCAUAAUUGGGCAGGUUUUAUCUGACUUGUUCAAACUCCAACAUAGUACCUGUUUGUGUGUCAGAUAUUACCUAUCCUAACUGCCAUUGGUAAUAGAACAGUGACUAGGUAUGUGUUCACAGAAACAUGUAUGGAGUCAGCACAUGGAGACUUGCAAGAUGAUGUGAUGAAGUCCAGACUAACAGACAGGAUUGACACUGAUGUCUCUGAAUAAAGCGAGACCUGGCAUUAACA